CCCUUAGAUGUCCUGGGCCGCACGCGUGCUACACUGACGCCUACAGCGAGUACUUCCCAGCCCCGAGAGGCGGCUGGUAAUCAGCAAUAGGCGUCGUGAUGGGGAUAGAACUUUGGAAUUAUUGUUCUUGAACGAGGAAUGCCUAGUAAGCGCACGUCAUUAGCGUGCGCUGAUUAAGUCCCUGCCCUUUGUACACACCGCCCGUCGCUCCUACCGAUUUCGAGUGGUCCGGUGAAUCUUUCGGACUGCGCGUGACUUCGUGCCAUGUCGCGGAAAGUCAGGUAAACCUUAUCACUUAGAGGAAGGAGAAGUCGUAACA
rnacentral:rRNA from 1 species